AUGCUCCUCUCCUCUGGUGCCAUGCAGGUUUCCCACUGGCCAAGUCCAACCAGCAGCCAUGGGACCCAGAAGCUCAGUGAUAGAGUCCAUAUAGGUUGGUCUCCACCAGCAAAGAAUAGAGCAGAGAAAGGAGUUUCGCCCUUGUCGCCCAGGCUGGAGUGCAAUGGCACAAUCUCAGCUCACCAAACCUCUGCCUUCCGGGUUCAAGUGAUUCUCCCGCCUCAGCCUCCCAAGUAGCUGGGAUUACAGUAGCUGAAGAAGAUAGAAUUUCCUGUUUCCUGCGUCAGUGCUGUCAAGAGUUGGGCACAUGUGAUCCAAGCUUGGCUAUUCAGAUGAGCAGUCUUGCCACCUUGAUUCUUGGAUAAACAACCUGAUGACCGAGUGAAAGACUAGACAUCACAUAACUCAGCUGCAAGUGCUGCCCAGUAUGUUCCUGGAUCUUAGCCUUCUCGACUUAGUGUCUUCAACCUUCCCUUGCUCUCAGUACCUGUAAGUGUGACCUUAUUUGGAAAUAAGGUCUUUGCAGAAAAUCAAAUUAAGAUAAGGUUAUACUGAAUUA
rnacentral:lncRNA from 1 species